rnacentral:rRNA from 1 species
UCUGUAGCAAUACGGGAGGUAUUCAGUGGCGAAAGGGUGCGUAACACGUGGGCAAUCUGCCGGGAAGUGGGGGAUAGCUCGCCGAAAGGCGAAUUAAUACCGCAUGUGGUUAGAGAAGGCAUCUUCUUGAUACCAAAGUCGGGGCAACCUGACGCUUUCUGAUGAGCCCGCGGCCUAUCAGCUAGUUGGUGAGGUAACGGCUCACCAAGGCGAUGACGGGUAGCUGGUCUGAGAGGACGACCAGCCACACUGGAACUGAGACACGGUCCAGACACCUACGGGUGGCAGCAGUCGAGAAUUUUUCUCAAUGGGCGAAAGCCUGAAGGAGCGACGCCGCGUGGAGGAUGAAGGUUUUCGGAUUGUAAACUCCUGUCAUUAGGGAACAAUGCAAUGGGUAGUAACUGAUCUGUUGUUGAUAGUACCUGAAGAGGAAGAGACGGCUAACUCUGUGCCAGCAGCCGCGGUAAUACAGAGGUCUCAAGCGUUGUUCGGAUUCAUUGGGCGUAAAGGGUGCGUAGGCGGUGGCAUAAGUUGGAUGUGAAAUCCCGGAGCUCAACUCCGGAACUGCAUUCAAUACUGUGUCACUAGAGUGCUGGAGAGGAGAUUGGAAUUCUCGGUGUAGCA